AUCAACGGCCAUGCCACCUUGAACAAACCUGAUCCCAUCUGAUCUUGGAAGCCAAGCAGGGUCGGGCCUGAUUAGUACUUAGAUGGGAGACCACCUAGGAGGACUAGGUGCUGUAGGUG
rnacentral:rRNA from 1 species